rnacentral:rRNA from 1 species
UACGAAGGACCCGAGCGUUAUCCGGAUUUAUUGGGUUUAAAGGGUGCGUAGGCGGAUUAGUAAGUCAGUGGUGAAAGCCCGUCGCUUAACGGCGGAACUGCCAUUGAUACUGCUAGUCUUGAGUAUGGUUGAGGUGGGCGGAAUGUGUCAUGUAGCGGUGAAAUGCUUAGAUAUGACAUAGAACACCCAUUGCGAAGGCAGCUUACUACACGAUCAUUGACGCUGAGGCACGAAAGCGUGGGGAUCAAACAGG